rnacentral:lncRNA from 1 species
CUCUUGUUCUUGCAUUAUUGUUCUUGUCUUUUAUAUUAUUUCAUAACACGUUAUCAGCACGAAACUCUACCGUCUCAAGAAGCUCUUUGGGAAGAAUGUAACGAAACUGGAAGAAGAAGGGAUUUUGAAAGAAAAAAAAAAUCGAAGAAAGAAAGAAGGAACAGAAGAGAACAAAGAAAGUGUGAAGAAAAAAAAAAGAAGAAAGGGAUUCCCACUAUUUGCGUG